rnacentral:rRNA from 41 species
GAGUUUGAUCCUGGCUCAGAUUGAACGCUGGCGGCAUGCCUUACACAUGCAAGUCGAACGGCAGCACGGGAGCUUGCUCCUGGUGGCGAGUGGCGAACGGGUGAGUAAUGCAUCGGAACGUAUCCUGGAGUGGGGGAUAACGUAGCGAAAGUUACGCUAAUACCGCAUAUUCUGUGAGCAGGAAAGCGGGGGACCUUCGGGCCUCGCGCUCUUGGAGCGGCCGAUGUCGGAUUAGCUAGUUGGUGAGGUAAAGGCUCACCAAGGCGACGAUCCGUAGCAGGUCUGAGAGGAUGAUCUGCCACACUGGAACUGAGACACGGUCCAGACUCCUACGGGAGGCAGCAGUGGGGAAUUUUGGACAAUGGGGGCAACCCUGAUCCAGCCAUGCCGCGUGAGUGAAGAAGGCCUCGG